UCGUCAGUGAGGUUAAUCCUUGCCUGUUUUUCCUUUGGGAAAAAUGAAACAUGAUUUGAUUUAAUGAGGUUGUGAUUAAAUUACUUUGGCUUGUAGAAUGCAACAACAUCUACACUAACCAUAUCUGAU